AACAGCUGCUCUGCUAAUUACCUCUGGUGGUGCCUACCGCGGUCUCUCCCGCUCGCUCUGUCUGUCUCAAUUAUGGGCUCUCUUUCUCCUGCUCUCCCCCCUCCGUACUGCCGCAGCUAAGACAGGGACGCUCCCAGCUGAUACAAAAGACAAUCUAUUUUUUUCUAUCCCAAAGAGAAGUUGUAUCCUCCCAUCAGAAUCCGGCAGGAAAAGCAAAGGAUGGGUCCAGCUGGUCAGGGCGAAAUGGAGGCAUCAAUCUAACGCUUUGGACACAGUAGAGAUGCUCUGCGGACAACCUGAACUAAAAGAUAACAUACAAAGACGAAUUGGUGUUGGCCAUCUGUUCUUGUGGAAAUUUGCUGGAGACUCGCUGUUGUAAUUGCAGCAAUUGCAGGUGGUUCUCCAAAUUAGCAAGGGUUCCGAUUAAAUUUGCAUACACCACUUAAAGGAGUUUUAUUUGUUUAUAAAAUCAAACCAUGCCUCAUUUACCUUAAACUACACUUUGCAUUACUUUGUUUUGGAAUAAUUUUACACUGAAAUAAACACUGCAUUUAGAUUUCA